rnacentral:rRNA from 1 species
AUUGAACGCUGGCGGCAGGCCUAACACAUGCAAGUCGAGCGGAUGAAGGGAGCUUGCUCCUGGAUUCAGCGGCGGACGGGUGAGUAAUGCCUAGGAAUCUGCCUGGUAGUGGGGGAUAACGUCCGGAAACGGGCGCUAAUACCGCAUACGUCCUGAGGGAGAAAGUGGGGGAUCUUCGGACCUCACACUAUCAGAUGAGCCUAGGUCGGAUUAGCUAGUUGGUGGGGUAAAGGCCUACCAAGGCGACGAUCCGUAACUGGUCUGAGAGGAUGAUCAGUCACACUGGAACUGAGACACGGUCCAGACUCCUACGGGAGGCAGCAGUGGGGAAUAUUGGGCAAUGGGCGAAAGCCUGAUCCAGCCAUGCCGCGUGUGUGAAGAAGGUCUUCGGAUUGUAAAGCACUUUAAGUUGGGAGGAAGGGCAGUAAGUUAAUACCUUGCUGUUUUGACGUUACCAACAGAAUAAGCACCGGCUAACUUCGUG